UACGUAGGGUGCGAGCGUUGUCCGGAUUUAUUGGGCGUAAAGGGCUCGUAGGCGGUCUGUCACGUCGGGAGUGAAAACUCGGGGCUUAACUCCGAGCCUGCUUCUGAUACGGGCAGACUAGAGGUAUGCAGGGGAGAAUGGAAUUCCUGGUGUAGCGGUGAAAUGCGCAGAUAUCAGGAGGAACACCGGUGGCGAAGGCGGUUCUCUGGGCAUGACCUGACGCUGAGGAGCGAAAGUGUGGGGGAGCGAACAGG
rnacentral:rRNA from 1 species